rnacentral:rRNA from 1 species
AACGAACGCUGGCGGCAGGCUUAACACAUGCAAGUCGAACACCCCGCAAGGGGAGUGGCAGACGGGUGAGUAACGCGUGGGAACGUGCCUUUUGGUUCGGAACAACUUCGGGAAACUGGAGCUAAUACCGAAUGUGCCCUUCGGGGAAGAUUUAUCGCCAAAAGAUCGGCCCGCGUCAGAUUAGCUAGUUGGUGGGGUAAUGGCCUACCAAGGCGACGAUCUGUAGCUGGUCUGAGAGGAUGAUCAGCCACACUGGGACUGAGACACGGCCCAGACUCCUACGGGAGGCAGCAGUGGGGAAGUCUUGGACAAUGGGCGCAAGCCUGAUCCAGCCAUGCCGCGUGAAUGAUGAAGGCCUUAGGGUUGUAAAAUUCUUUCGUCGGGGACGAUAAUGACGGUACCCGAAGAAGAAGCUCCGGCUAACUUCGUGCCAGCAGCCGCGGUAAU